rnacentral:rRNA from 1 species
AUUGAACGCUGGCGGCAGGCCUAACACAUGCAAGUCGAGCGGCAGCGGGAAAGUAGCUUGCUACUUUUGCCGGCGAGCGGCGGACGGGUGAGUAAUGCCUGGGGAUCUGCCCAGUCGAGGGGGAUAACUACUGGAAACGGUAGCUAAUACCGCAUACGCCCUACGGGGGAAAGCAGGGGACCUUCGGGCCUUGCGCGAUUGGAUGAACCCAGGUGGGAUUAGCUAGUUGGUGAGGUAAUGGCUCACCAAGGCGACGAUCCCUAGCUGGUCUGAGAGGAUGAUCAGCCACACUGGAACUGAGACACGGUCCAGACUCCCACGGGAGGCAGCAGACGCGACUAUUGCACAAUGGGGGAAACCCAAAGCCAGCCAUGCCGCGUGUGUGAAGAAGGCCUUCGGGUUGUAAAGCACUAGAAGCGAGGAGGAAAGGUUGUGAGAGAAUAACUGCCAGCUGUGACGUUACUCGCAGAAGAAGCACCGGCUAACUCCGUGCCAGCAGCCGCCGUAAUAC